UCCUGAGCUCAAGUGAUCCACCCUCCUCUGCUUCCCAAAGUGCUGGGAUUACAGGCAUGAACCACUGUGCCCGGCCUUCAAGAUGAGUCUUGGUACGGAAAGAGGUCUGAGACAUCUUAUGAAGCUACAAUAGCAGUUGCAAAAGAGAAUAAAGAAAACAGUACCGUCUAUAAUCUUAAAAUCAGUAUAGUUAAGUGUCACUUAACAAUGGGGAUAUGUUCUGAGAAAUACAGGCAAUUUUGUCGUUAUGCAAACAUCAUAGAGUGUACUUGCACACACCUAGAUGGGAUGGCCUACUGCACACCUAGGCUAUAAUGGUUUGGCCUAUUGCUCCUAUGCUACAAACCAUGGUACUAUACUGAAUAUCGCAGGCAACUGGAGCCCAACAGUAUUUGUGUAUCUCAGCAUAGAAAAGGUAAUGCAUUGUGCUAUGAUGUUACAGCAGCUAUAAUGUCACUAGGUGAUAGGAAUUUUUCAGCUCCAUUCUAAUCAUAUGGGACCCCCAUCGUAUGUAUACGCAGUCUGUCAAUGACCAGAAUGUCGUUAUGUGUUGCAUUACUAUUUAUAUACAAUAAUAGCAGCUGAGUGUUUUUGAGACCUUCGUACAUGUGAGCACACAGCUAAACUCUCUGCAUGCACCGUUCAAUGAAUUCUUACCGAAGCACAGCGACAUAGGUAUUGCCAUGACUUUUCUUUUUACAAAAAUGGAAAUUGACCAGGUGCAUGGCUCACGCCUGUAAUCCCAACACUUUGGGAGGAUCGCUCGAGCCCAGGAGUUCAAGACCAGCUUGGGCAACAUGGUGAAACCCCAUCUCUACAAAAUAUACAAAAGAUUAGCCAGGCAUGGUGGCUUGUACCUGUGGUCCCAGCUACUCAGAAGGCUAAAGUGGGAGGAUGGAGAUUACAGCAAGUUGAGAUUGAGUCACUGCACUCCAGCCUGGGCAACAGAGUGAGACCCUGUCUCCCAAAAAACAAGUAACUGAGACUUAGAGUGAUUGUGGAAUAACGUGUCCUAUAUCUCAUAGCAAAUAAGUGGCAGGGCAGGACUAGAAUCUGGAUCUGUAUGACUCCAGAGUCUGAAUUCUCAGCCUCUGCUAGGAAAGCAUGGAUGUGUACACAUGUAUGUGAAAAUAUCAAAGGCUAUUCGAUGGUCAACAAUGGUUACUUAGGAAAUUGGGAGGAGGGGAGGUUAGGUCAAUUUUCUUUUUUCUUUUGUUUUCAUUAACAAAUUUGGUUUUUAGUGACAGAGUGAGACUGUCACUAAAAAACAGUCUGGAGUGCAGUGGCACGGUCACCUUACUGCAGCCUGGAACUCUUGACCUCAGGCAAUUGUUUCGACUCAGCCUCCCAAAAUGCUGGGAUUACGGCAUGAGCCACUGCACCCGGCCUCAUUUUCUACUUUACAUAAUUCUGUACUGUUUACAUUUUUCCCAUGAGCAUAUUAUUUCAUAAUAAACAUAUAAAGGCUUGUUUUAAGUUGAUUCUGCUGAGGACUAAGCUCUGAUUUUUUAAUCCUGCCCAAAUUCCUAUCUAAGGGACCCAGGGAAUCAUGCCCUAAAAACCAUAAAUUCUCAUCAGAUGGGUUUUAUUUAACCCUAUAUAUGGUGACUUACUUUCCAGUCUUACCCUGGCAUAACAUUACUUGACAAAGAAGAAGGUCAAAAUAUGUUAUCCCAAAAUCAUAUUUUGAAAUGGCCCUGCAAAGCUGUCCUUUGUGGAGGAAAUUUGCAUCUGCAAAGAAUCUCUAUUAACAUAACUAGAUCUUUUUCUUCCAGGUCCUCCCAGUCCUGAAGAGAUUAGCUAAGAGUCUAGCACCUUUUAAAUAUCUGAUUAGGAAAUAUUUAUCAUCUAUUGUCUCUAAGGGCAGCCACUGUAAGACUUCAAAAGAACCUUGGUCUCUACAAUCUUUUAACCUGAACAUUUCCUUUCUAUCAACCCCAGGUCUUUAGACAAACUCGAUCAAUUGUCAACCAGCAAAUGUUUAAAUUUACCUAUAGCCUGGAAGCCCCGCCCCACUUUGAAUUGUCCCAUCUUUCUGGACCAAACCAAUUUAUUUCUUAAAUGUAUUUGAGACCAGGCAUGGUGACUCACGCCUGUAAUCCCAGCACUUUGGGAGGCUGAGGUAGGCGGAUCACGAGGUCAGGAGACUGAGACCAUCCUGGCUAACACGGUGAAACCCCGUUUCUACUAAAAAUAAAAAAUAAAAAAAAAA
rnacentral:lncRNA from 1 species